rnacentral:rRNA from 1 species
UUACGCUGUUAUCCCUAAGGUAAUUUAAUCUUAUAAUCAACAAAAAUGGAUCAACCUUUCAUAAAUCAAUGUAUAAAAUAAAAAAGAGUUAAUUAAUUCUUCCUAUCACCCCAACAAAACAUAUUAAAUAAUAAUAUAAUAAUCAAACAAAAUAAAUAAAUAAAUAUAUGUAUAAACUCUAUAGGGUCUUCUCGUCCCAUAAAUAAAUUUAAGCCUUUUAACUCAAAAAUUAAAUUCAAAUAAAAUAAUAAGAAACAGUAUAUUCCUCGUCCAACCAUUCAUUCCAGUCCACAAUUAAAGGACUAAUGAUUAUGCUACCUUUGCACGGUCAAAAUACCGCGGCCCUUUAAUAAUUAAUCAGUGGGCAGGUCAUACUUCAUAUUUUUAUAUCAGAAAGAGAUGUUUUUGUUAAACAGGCG